rnacentral:rRNA from 1 species
AUUGAACGCUGGCGGCAGGCCUAACACAUGCAAGUCGAACGAGUGGCGGACGGGUGAGUAAUGUCUGGGAAACUGCCUGAUGGAGGGGGAUAACUACUGGAAACGGUAGCUAAUACCGCAUACCAUCAGAUGUGCCCAGAUGGGAUUAGAGUGUUGGUGGGGUAACGGCUCACCAAGGCGACGAUCCCUAGCUGGUCUGAGAGGAUGACCAGCCACACUGGAACUUAGACACGUUCCAGACUCCGACGUGAGGCAGCAGUGGUGAAUAUUGCACAAUGGGCGCAAGCCGGAUGCAGCCAUGCCGCGUAGAUUAAGAAGGCAUUCGGGUUGUAAAGUACUUUCAGCGGGGAGGCGUGACCCGCAGAAGAAGAACCGGCUAACUCCGUGCCAGCAGCCGCGGUAAUAC